rnacentral:rRNA from 1 species
AAUUUUGGACAAUGGGGGCAACCCUGAUUCAGCCAUCCCGCGUGUGCGAUGAAGGCCCNCGGGUUNUNAUGUAUUUUUGGCAGGGNCGAAAAGGCGCCGGAUAACACCUGGCGCCGCUGACGGUACCUGCAGAAUAAGCACCGGCUACCUACGUGCCAGCAGCCGCGGUAAUACGUAGGGUGCAAGCGUUAAUCGGAAUUACUGGGCGUAAAGCGUGCGCAGGCGGUUCGGAAAGAAAGAUGUGAAAUCCCAAGGCUUAACCUGGGAACUGCAUUUUUAACUGCCGGGCUAGAGUAUGUCAGAGGGGGGUAGAAUUCCACGUGUAGCAGUGAAAUGCGUAGAGAUGUGGAGGAAUACCGAUGGCGAAGGCAGCCCCCUGGGAUAAUACUGACGCUCAUGCACGAAAGCGUGGGGAGCAAACA